UUCACGCGGCAAGGCCGCAGAAGCACGGCAAGUCGCCGUGGGAUCGUAAGGGCGCGUUUACGCGUGUAAGUGCCCCUACGUACGUGCACGCGUGUAUGCGUGUGCACGCGUACGCGUACGCAGUCGCAUAUGCAGCCGUUGUAAAAUGCCGCACGUAGGUAGACGUCUCAGUGUCUCCCAACUCAACUUCAAAUGAACCGAUGAACGUCUGACUAGGUAUAGAUCUUUCCCGCCGACAUCGACAGUCGCGUUUUCAGAUCGAAGCCUCUUACUUUCAUACCGAUGUACCCUAUUUGUCCGUGCCUGGCACCUGGUGAACCGAUUACGCAGAUCGGAUUGUACGGUCAUAUGAUGGAAGCGGCUCCGGUGCACGUGCUCGGAAACCCGACCGGGAAUCGGAACAUUGCCGUUUCUCCAAACUAUGCUACAUCUUUUAACUAUAUCGACAUGGUAUGCCUCGAUUCGAUCAGCACUCGUUGCAUUGAUAUUUUGAUGUUCAGCAAAUCUUACGGAAUUGAGAAUGAAUUGAUAUCGCGUAGAAUAUGCUGUUAAUGCAAGGAGAAUUUCAGAUGUUUAAUUAAUCCUUGAAAUUAUAAUUAUUUAUAUAUUGUAAUACAUUAUUAUUAUGGAGAAAAACGAGCUAGAGCGAGAGUGAGAGAGAGAGAGAGAGAAAAAGAGAGAGAUUGAAUUGUCAUUUAUUUGACACUUCAGAGACACUCUGAGACACUGUCCUCUCAAGCGCUUGUCCAAAUAUAUUAUAUGUAAUAGAAUACACAUUGUAAGAACUGACAGAUAUAAUAUAAUCUCACAAAAUGUAUAUUCUUUAAAAUAAAGAUUAAGAAGAAAGUAAAAUGUAGCAAGCGAGGAUUUCAAGAAUACGCAAAUUGAGAAUUGCAUUCAAGAAAAGAAAAAUUUAUUUAAGGAUCAUUCUUGCUCAAUACAAAUUAGUUAACAAAUUUUUUCCAUUAAGAAAUAAAGUAUAUCUAUCCAGUAUACUAACCAGUAAACCAAGA